ACGACAGUAGAAACUCCCCGACCCGUCCCCAACCUAACCCGCCUCCUACCGCCGGAGGCACCCGCGACGGCGGCAGCCGGAGCGAGGGAGCCCGCAGCGCCGUGACGGGUAGCUCCUCCGACCCACGCGCUGCCGCCGGCCGCCCGUCCGCACGCCUCCCCGCCAACGGGCUCGCCGGCCCCUCCGCGCGCGCCUUCCCUCCGACGGGCGCCACCCCCUCCCCGCGCACCUUCCCGUCGACGGGUGCCGGAUCCUCCCUGCGCGCCUCCCCUCCGACGGGCUCGCCGGCCCCUCCCCGCGCGCCUCCCCUCCGGCGGGCGCUGGCCCCUCCCCGUGCACCUCCCCGCUGGCGUUACUCGUCUCCUCCCCACGCGCCUCCCCGCGGGCGUUCGCCGGCCCCUACCAGCGAGUCUCCCCGCCGCCGGGCCCUCCCCGUGAAGCUCCCCGCCGCCAUCGACGCCAACUGCUGCUCGCGAACGGGAUGGAUUCAAUGCCCGCUGCCGGAUCCAGCGCCCCCACCACCAUCUCCCAAUUCACUGCCUGUCGCGCAUGGCAUCGCCCUUCCUUCCUUCCUCUUAAUAUUCUCUGCCAGCCGGUAGUGGCAUCCCAUGUGCUGCAGCUUCCAGCGUCGUCCUCUGCCUUGUCGGCACACAAGCCGUUCGCCUCAGCCACCCCAGUCCGUUCACAAUUUCUAGCAGAGUCCGUUCAACACUAGCGUGCAGCUACCCGCCUCCUGGAUUCAGGGACGCAUUCAUGGCUUUAUUCAAUAAGUGGACUGUGGGCAGAUGUUGAUCAACAAGUGAGCUAAGGGACUGGACGCCCUCCUCGCCGCGGCGUCAUUGCUGGCCGUCAGCGGCGGAAGCGGGGUGGCGGCCGGGACGUUGUUGUGCUCGUCUCCGACUACUGUCAAGGCUGGAACAUGGAGCUUGCAGCUUAUGUUUGUUGUCGUUUGAACUUAGGCUCUUCUCUCUCUUGUACUUCAGUUAUUCUUCAGUUUUCAGUAUUGGUGUAGUCUGUAUGGUGAAGAUGAAGUUCCUUUUUGAACUUCUCCGGUUAAUAUACAUGAACUUGGUCAUCUUUUUAUAUGUACUUACAUCAGCUCAUCCAGUUGUUCGUGUAAUUGUAAUACUAAUCAGUUCAGAUCUCGAGAGAGGUAAGCUCAGAGAAAAAAUACAGAAGUUCAAAGUCGAUAAAAAAGGGGAUUUUAUUUCUUUGUUGUUAUUUUUUUGCAACCAGAUGCGACAGACAGAGGCAAGAUGCAAAGUGUGCUGUUUGUUAGAUGUUCAGUACAGAUUUUUCUCUAAGAAAAAAGCAGCAGGAGGCAACAGUUUUGAAUGUGCUAGUUGUAAGUCACUUAGUUAUUAGAUGGUCAUUUCAGAUUUUUGUAGAUGCAACAACUAGUUUGUUUUCUCGUGCUAGUUGAACUAGUCUUGGUUCAUAUAU